CCGAGUACUGGGUCUCCGGGCCCACACUCCCACCCUCUGUGUACCUACCUGUUUUCGUUGCCUCGGCGGGGUUGAUCCCAAGGGCCACCGGCCCUCGGGGGACCCGUCGGGGGGACACACCUAAACUCUUGUCAACAGUGACGUCUGAGAAAAAAACAAACUAGUCAAAACUUUCAACAACGAGAUCUCUUGGUUCUGGCAUCGAUGAAGAACGCAGCGAAAUGCGAUAAGUAAUGUGAAUUGCAGAAUUCAGUGAAUCAUCGAAUCUUUGAACGCACAUUGCGCCCCCUGGCAUUCCGGGGGGCAUGCCUGUUCGAGCGUCAUUUCAAACCUCAAGCUCACGCUUGGUGUUGGGCGUCGUCCUCACGGACGUGCCUGAAACCCGUAGGCAGCGGUGCCCGUCUCCCAGCGUAGUCAAGUUACCCGCUUCGGAGCGCGUGGCAUCGCCCGCCGGACGAACAACCACAUUCUUCUAUGGUUUGACCUCGGAUCAGGUAGGGAUACCCGCUGAACUUAAGCAUAUCAAUAAGCGGAGGAAUCGCGUACUUGGUAUUUAGAGGAAGUAAAAGUCGUAACAAGGUUUCCGUAGGUGAACCUGCGGAAGGAUCAUUAACGAGUUUUAAUUGUUAGGUUAGAGUUGAGCUGGUUAAUCUAAUUAAUAUGUGCUUACUCUAAUCGAAACAAGUCCACUCAUUACUUAACACUUGUGAACUUAUUCAUUACAAACAUUAUUAUUUGUUAUUGGAACGUUUUGAUUAUUAAAAAGUUAAUA
rnacentral:misc_RNA from 1 species